CCACAACCUCUUUGAUCGGAAGGGGUGACAAAAUCUUCACCAGUAAAUCGUCAGGCAAAUCAGUGAUAUUUUUCGUUCCUUCAUGUCUGUUGUUGAGAUUUUCCAUCGCAGAAGAAAGAAGAAAAGCCAAAAAAGUUUUUUUUGUUCCUUUCCUUCUAUGUCAAGGAAAAGGCAAGUAAGCUCCUCUGUUUCGCUCUAAACCCUAAUUUCGACU